rnacentral:lncRNA from 1 species
AAGCACCAGCCGCCGCAGCAGCUGAAUGCCGCCGAGGAUGAGGUCCUGCACCCCUACACGCAGCUCAUGCUGGACCAGGGCCCCACGCAGUACGUCCUGCGCCCAGAGCCGGACACCCGCCACGUGGCCACCAUGAGCGGCAUCGCGACGCCCUCUGCCGUAACUCCCUCGGUGUCGGCCGAGGACGGCUCGGCGUUUACC